rnacentral:lncRNA from 1 species
CACUGCAAAUCAUGCCCAAAUAACAUCCCUGUUGUGAAUUAGCAUGGGAUUCAUCGUCAUGUUUUAAUUAAAGUGAACUAUGUGUAAGUUCUGUGUAACUAUGUGUUGUCAGUUAUACAUGUGGUUUUUAUGCCUUGGAAUAGGGUAAGCACCUCAGAGGCCAAGAGACCUGAAGGGUCAUCUCUACGCCAAGGAUCUCAGGGGAUAACAAAUGAAAUGCUCUUGGCAGCAGCUAAGAAAGAAGUCGAUGAGAUUUUUCAAGAAUCUGUCAGAAUAGUCAGUGGUUUGGAUCCAGUUGUGCCUGCCUUACCAGAGGGAUAUUCUUCCAUCUCCGAAAAGAAUGUGGAUUUGACAGCCUCAUGCACCAUUAAGGACUUUGACUCUGGUCCUACUACAGCACCUAUGAUGGUUGAGGACGCUAAAGCCUCAGGACUAUCACAAUCCAUCCCCUUGCUCAACCAGUUCACCGACACUGAAUUUCAACAAAGGGCAGCAAAGCAAGUGAGUGAGGUUUUGCUCAAAACUCUUGAAAAUGAAUCCCCAAUUGAGGAAUUUGCUGAAGAUGACGAGGAAUCAAACUCCAAAGCAGAAAGUCAAACAGACCUCUGUAGGGUUCAUGCUAUCUUUCCAUCUGGUCCCCUGUCAGAGUCUCUUGCAGUUGAUCUAGUUGAUGAUAUUAUUGAAUCCAUUAAGGACAAAGUCUCCGGCCAAGAGGUUUAUUCAACAUCAUAUGAUGUUGUUGGAUGUGUUAUUGAAGGGAUGAAAGAUCUUUUGGAGAAAACACGAGCCCUAGGAACUGUUGUUCCAAUGAAAAGGAUCUACAGGACAACAUGUCAAAUAAUGUUCAAUGCAAUUCAGAACAUGGUGGGGAAAUUGUUUUGCAAAUCUUUUCACUCUGACAGUGAAAAGAAAAUGACAGUGGCUUCUGCCAUCAAUGUCACUAGCCAAGCAAUUGUGUCCAUGCAGAGUGAACUUCCCGGUCUCAAGACGGCAGGAAAUCUAGAGCAGGUAGAGCUGAUUGAUAAGAUCCUUAGUGCUAUGUUGAAUGAAGUACAAGUGAUUGACAUUGAAACAGAAACAGACAGGUCACAAAGCCCUGGAUUGCCAUUGUCACACUCCUCAGUAUCAUUUCACUCAGAAAUAGAUGACCAAACCAAACUCCCUGGUACUGCUGUUCUCCCUGAAGUGUUUAUCGAAAGGAUUUCCCCUCUUCUGACGCAUACUUUUGUUGACAUGGAUGCUGCUUCAUUGUCUCCUGGAUGUGCAAAUGAAACCAUCAGUAGUGUGUUAGACACCAUCUUAGAAUGGGAAAAACGUGUACCCAUCACUGGAAGACUGGAGAAAUUGAUCACUGAAACACAAAUAGGUCAAUAUUCCUGUGAUAUUGCAGAUCGAGUACAUAAAACACUAAAAGGUUAUCAUGGUCUCCAGACCAUUUCCGUGCCAGUUGGAAAGAGUCUUUCAGAUUCUAUGCUUUGCAAAUUAACAUCUAGAGCUGAGGGAAAGAAUGAAAUUCCAUCAGAGUUCGUUUACAGUUAUGUAGAGGAGGCUGUGAAGCGACUACUCCUGUCAUGUUUGUUCCCCUCAGCAGCUUCUGAGAAUCAAGAACGUUUACAGAAUAAUCUAGAGACCUCAAAAUCAUCACCUGAGGUGUUUGGAAGUACAAUGAACGUAUUCACACAAGUGAUGACCAACGAAGUCAUGGUGGCACUCUCCACAGAGUUAAAGGAAAAUGUUUCUUCUGACUUGAAGGAAUUAGUUAAGGAGGAUCAGAAACUCUUAGACAAACGGGCACAGGACACUAAAACUAGAUCACCCACCACUAACUCAAACAAUCUGCCCCCUCGUACUUUUGACGAACAUACAGAUUUGAUGCAAAAUAGUCAGUGUGAAGGAGUCACCAGUUCAUGUCACCUACGUCUGUUAGAGUCCAACAAGAAGGACUAUGCCUCCUUGGUCUCCAUGCUGGUCAUUCGACUCCUGAAGAAAGUCAAUAGCUUACACCAGGACAUUGGCACCCACCAGGAUGGACUUCCAGAUAAUGUGCUGGAUAUGUCCAGAGACUUGAUUCGGAAGAUUCUGUCUGAGCUCGAUACAGCUUUUGGUAUGACAGGCGAUGAAACCUAUCCUAAGGAUGUGAAUUUUCACCAGAUUUACAGAAACGUUUACAAAGAACUUACUCGACAGUUUGGGUCUGAAGAUGUGCUCCGUUUUGCCCUUGAAUCACAAGAUCAAUCUUUUGAAUCAUCACUGGUAGAAACGCUAACAAAAGAGAUAACAAAGACUUGUAGCCAAACCAGCAUACCAGCUUCUACACAUCUCCCUCCAAUUCAACCUACAGUUGGACAAGACCAAGGAAAGGAAAAGACCAGGAACAAAAUGUUUCCAGUUUGGCUCAAGAUGCCAACAAUCAAAUCGAAGAAACCAAAGAGAGGAUCACAGAGUCUCCUUGUAAGCCAGGCCUCUCCUGUUGCAAACACUAGUAAGUUCAUGGUGAUAUUUGAAGCAACACUUCAACUAGAUCUAACUAUGUUCAUGUUUUUGCCUGCUAUAAAUUAUCCGUUUGGAUGAGGAGGAUAAAUCAUUCCCUAUUUUUUUCACAGAGCUCAGUGAGACGCUGGCUGAGGUCACCAAGGCUCCUGUAUCUGCUGGCCCACUGGAGAUGCCACAGGAGGAAGAGACCGUAGGGUGCUGUUUCUUCAGGAUGCCGAAAUUCAAGUUCUCCUUCAAGGUGGAGUUCAGUUUCUAUACGAGAUGUUAUUGUAAUUUUAGACAUUAUGUGUACUAAUGCUGAUCAGAGAGGCUACUGAGUGAAGAACACAUUGGUGUAACAUGAUCUGUGAGUAUGCAGUUUAGAUAUUUUUUUAUUCAUUACAAUUUGAAUCUGAAAUGAUUUAAUCUCUCUCUUACUUUAUAAGAAAAUGUGGAAAGGUGCUAAAAUUGGGCAUUGUGACGAUGAUAAGUCCUUCGAAGAGAACAUCAAUGUCUCAGGUAAGUGAAACUGAAAGUCUGAACACAUAAAAAUACAUUAAUUCACUGUAACAUUGAGUAUUCACUAAGUAGACGUACUUGGAAAGUGUUGUUUUUUUCUUCGCCAUCUCUUUUUCAGCCAUCAACAUCUUGUCAGACUCGGCUCAAUGAGGCUACUGCUGAACUGACUGCUUCUGAGAGCCAAACUACCUGGAAGAGACUGCAUCUAGACUGACCAACACAUCUACUCCAGAGAUGGGACUGUCUCACUUAGCUGUUUAAGUCACCGACACAGCUCAAUGAUCCUUUGGAUCAUCGGAUCCUCUAAGAACUCUUCGGUCCUUUCAACUACAUUUUGUUGAACCCCAAUCUGGCUAUUUUAAUUAAACUUAUUAUUGCAUGCAUAUUGGUGUAACUUUGCCAUUUGUUGGGUACUAUAAGGAUGACUACAUACAGUGGCGCUUGAAAGUUUGUGAAUCUGUUAGUUUCUUCAAAGUUCUUGAACAACAGCUUUUAAUUGAUUUUAAUCUCAUAUUAAAAUAUCAAAUCAUAUGAAUCUAACUGUGCUUAAUUGUAAGAUAUGUCACAGGCUUGAAGCUGAAAGGUUAGCUUUGCAUUGUGUUUUGAUGAGAAGUUGAGAUGUCGUAAAUCGGCCAGAUUGUAGUGCGCCCAUGUUCUUAAGGUCUGAAUUAGCGAGAAAUCGUUGGUGAUUCUACAGACAUCCUCGGAUUUAAAUAAUUAUAAUAAUAAUAAAUACAAGAGUAUUUGUAUCA